rnacentral:rRNA from 1 species
CGAUGCCUCACAAUCAAACCGACUUGCGAAUCUGUUUAUCUAUUAUUAUCGCGCCCAAGCAACCUUGGUUGCUUGUGUGCGGUGCCAAACACAAACCCCGGCGCUUCGUGCGCCAAGGAAAUCUAAUUUGUUAAGUGCGGUUCUCGAGGGCCCGGAGACGGUGUCCCGCGAGCGUUGUCACGACACAUUACUACAUUACAAUGACUCUCGGCAACGGAUAUCUCGGCUCUUGCAUCGAUGAAGAACGUAGCGAAAUGCGAUACUUGGUGUGAAUUGCAGAAUCCCGUGAACCAUCGAGUCUUUGAACGCAAGUUGCGCCCAAAGCCAUUAGGCUGAGGGCACGCCUGCCUGGGUGUCACACAUCGUUACCCUAAUGCAAAAUAAAUUUGCCUGGGGUGUAUGCUGACCUCCCGCGAGCACUGUUUUGUGGUUGGUUGAAAAUUGAGUUCGUGGCUGAGUUUGCCGUGACAAAAUGGUGGAUGAGCAACAACAAUAUGCUCGGGACCAGUUGCGUGCGACUUUGCCAGUCUUGGACUCCUUGACCCUUCGUGCGUGUAAACGCUCUCAAC